GGGUGAGACUCUUGGACCUCCAUCAGCUGACGUGGAUGUUUGAUGGUCUUCCUCUCUAGUGCCAGAUGAUUCAUCCAUGAAUUCAGCAGCUACAGACUGAAAUGAAGCUCAUGCUGCUGUUAUUGAAUUCCUGUUCCAGAUUAGAUGUUCAGAGCUCACCUUGAAUGCAUGCCGUCUGCUGUCUGAUAGUUUUUCUCAUUGUAGUCUUCAAUAAAGUCUUUUUCCUCAUGUCAGGAUGUGGUGAGACUCUUUCUCAGUCUCUGCAGACGUCCCUCAUUGUGCAUCUCCAGAAAAGAAACAGAAAAACUGGUCACUGCUUCAGCAUCAAACGCUCUCCAGCACUGAGAGUGUUUUAGGAAUUCAUUCAUUGUGUUGUGAACUUUGAAGGAGCAGAAACUUUACAGCUGCCAAAGAUAUGAGCUCCAAUUCUGGAUGUUUUAGGAAAUGAAGUUCAUCAAAUGAUCACUUGAUUUUUGCUGAUAACUCUCAUUAAAUUACUGAAGAAAUCUAACAUAAAAACCUGUAAAAUCUCAGGCAGCUUUUGUUAAAGUUUGUCUAUAAUUCUAUCAUCAUGUUCUGGAACCAGGACUCUGCAGAAGUUCCUUCAAUCAGAUACUUGUGUGUUUCUAUUUAAGGCCUCAGUGACUUUAAUGUUUAAAUCAGUCCAGUAAAUAUUUGGAGUAAAAAUGUUUAAAAUUUUGAUUUAGAUAGAUUUGUGUCAAAUAAUAUUGUAGAGUCUCACUUAAAUAUCUCCAAAUGAGUGUAUUUACAUUUUAUAGAAUAUUUGAUUUCUUAAUCUCAAUACUGUAGGGUCUGACCUUAAAUAUUACAAUGAUGUAAAUUUAAAUAGUACUUUAGUGCAGAGUCAUAAAAUUUAAUCAGCUAAAGUUACAUUAUAAAUAUCACUGUACAAUCUUAACCUGAACAUUCAUAUUAUUGAGGUAAAUUUACAUAAAUCAUGAUAUUCUACAGUCUUAACUGGAAUAUUUCUAACAUUAAUCUUUUUGUAUUGUGCUGAUAAACAACAAUAACCCAACUUUCAGAUAAUAUUUAUUGUCUGUGAUUGUGAGACUAAAUUCCUCCACAUUCUGGAACUUCCAUGCAGCAGCUGUAGGAAUAAAUAAAAAUAAAAUCUGCUAAUUUCCACAUUAUGCAUAUUUAUUUAUUUUUAAUAUCUCAGACUGAAUGGUAGCUGGCAGUAAAAACAAACUCAUCUGCUGGACUGCAUUUCCCAAAAUGGAAACAUGGACAGAAUUUAAUACUCAUGUAUCCAUAGCAACGCUAACAUUUCUGCUUCUUACCAAAGUUCACAACACAAGUAAAGAUUUUAAUGUAAAACUUCAGGGAUUACUGCUAACCAUAAGUAUUCUGAUCAAUACUUCAUGAUCAAUAUCAGGACAGAUGUUACAACUCCAGCUGUUGCAUUAGACUGCAGUUAUUCACAGAGAAAUUAAAACAUCACAUUCCUCAUAAAAACUAGAUGGGACUUUUAUUAAAUAAAGUGUUGGUGAAUAAACUGUAAAAAGUGCAAAGCAGCUCCAUUAAAUCAGGAGAUGUGAGACUUCCACAGCGUGGAUCACCAUCUGCUGUGUUGAUUCAUAGCUGAAUGUCAGAAUGAACUGAGAUAGAAAAGCUGCUUUGAGCUGCAACAUUACGGUCUGACAAUCCAACACCAUCACAGUUUUCAUCUGGUUGUUUUGCUCCAACAUGCUGUGAAGUUCAGUUUUUACCUGAAUCAAUACAGAGAUUCUAUUUCCAACCAAGACUGGAAUAAAAAUUACAAUGUUAUGAGGUUAUUAAUGCAACUAAAUCCUUUCAGAUAGAAGGAUUUACUUCUAAGUUCUAAUUCAAGUUUCAGUUGGAGCACAUUGCAUUCACAAAGAAAAACAGCGAUACCUUCAUAGCAACAUUUAAUAAACCUAAAGCUUCCCUGUUGGCACAUUGGUGAAG
ensembl:lncRNA